UAUCCACAAUAUUAAGGUUCAAGGGAAGGGUGAAGAACAUCAGUGUCCUGCGAAUGGACAGCAUCUCUAACUCACCCAGCCAGGAACGUUUCCCUUAGAUUAUACUUUGGUUAAGGUGGUCACUCAGUGUUAACCCACUGCAGGAAAGACUUCCAAAUUUCAGAAAUGUGCAUCUUUAAUUGUUUCUGGUUCCAUAGCUCAAGUCAAAUUCGCCCAAAGUUUCAGUGAUCUGCUGACAGUGAUAACAAUAUGACUAACGAGAUACUGAGUGAUCACUUUGUGAUUGGCACCAUGCUUUUUGCCCUAGAUGGUGAUGCUACCUCAGAUAAUAAUAUCAAAGAUAGGUGGGAUAUACAGCUUUUUAAAGUUUCCCCCAGAGGCCCUUGCCUCCUGCUGUUCCUGCCUUCGUUACUUCUCCCCCUCUGAGUUUGGGCAGGGCCUAGUGACCGGCUUGUCCGUACAGGACGCAGACACAGGGGUGGGAGAUCACCUAUGACAUCACAGAAGACUGAGAAGACCUCUGCCUGGAACGGUCUGUUAGUUCUCCCUGCUUGCUUGUGCUACUGAAGCAGUCCUGUGGAGGGGUCCCUGUGGAAAGAAGCUGAGGAACAGGGGCUACCACUGUGGCAUAGUGGGUGAAGCUGCCACCUGUGACACUGGCACCCCACGUGGGUGCCAGUUUGCAUCCUGGCUGCUCUACUUCCCAUCCAGUUCCCUGCUAAUAGCCUGGGGAAAGCAGUGGAAGACGGCCCGAGUGCUUAGGCCCCUGCACUCAUACGGAGACCUGGAUGAAGCCCCUGUCUCCUGGCUUUGGCCUGGCAUAGCCCUGACCAUUGUGAUCAUCUGUAUAGAGAACCAGAGAAUGGAAGACCUCCCUGUCUCUCUCCCUCUCCCUCUCCCUCUCCCUCCCCUCUCCCUCUCCCUCUCCGUCUCUGUGAUCCUGACUUUCAAGUAAGUCAAUAAAUCUUUAAAAAAGAAACUGAGGAACAAGUAUUGUGGCCCUCAGUCCAACACCUAUGAAGAACUGACUCCGGCCACUAGCCAGGCCCCAAGCUUCCAAAAUCCUCCUGAUCCCCUCCGAGAGGCCCUCAGCUCCGCUGCGGGAGAACAUGGAGAGUCUCUCUUGAGUCUUCAAGUCCGCUGCUUCCACAUGCGAGUCCGUCUUACUCAGAAGAGACUGUUCGUUCCCAGUCGGGUUCCAGACCAGUACUGAAGAGCUACUCUUUGCUGCCAAGCCAGCCUGCUCUGUAACUCGACCACUGCAAAACCUCCGGAUCGGCAAAGAGAAUGGAUGAGCUGAACAUGUUGCAAGAUUCACUGGAAGAUUUAGGGGGCUGUGCACUAUAACUGUCCAACAAUUUUUGCGGGGUUUCGGGGAGGCCUAUCUCCAAGUGUCACGUUAUUUCCUAUAAAACUAGAGGACUGACCACCCUAAUUCUUAAGGUUCCUUUCAGUCUAAUGGUGUAUGCGUCUAAAGCAAAGUAAAAAACAACCUGGGAUUGCUCCAGAUACGAUGACGAUAGGGUAAUCGGGAGCGAGGGCAAGGGGCAACCACUGGAGAGGAGCCUAACACGGAGGCGAUGAGUCAACGUUUGACACUAGAGAGCCCCAGGUUUGGUUUUGCCUCUGCCACUUAGACACUGUGUCACCUCGAGCAAGGGACUCCAUUCCUCUAAACUUCUAGUUCUUUCUUUGUAAAACAUAUUUAACAGUAUGGCCUUGUGAAAUAGAGGUGGGGAUUAACUGUGAUAAAUGCAAACUGCUUCUUAUUAGCUGCUAAUCCCCCCAAAAUAAGCUGGCACACAACCUGUGUCCCGGGUGCCUGCCUUCUGAGACUGUCUCCAUUCACCUCUUCUUCCUAUGUCCUCUUCUUCCCUGUUUCUUGAUUAACCUCUCAUAUUUAUGUCUUUUGCCCUAAAGGUGGUGUUACUGUAUAUACUAAGAGCUGAAUGAUAUGAGUUCCAACUUUGUCCUCCCUUUAGGACCUCUGGAAUUCAGGAACCUGGCAGGAAUCUGUCUCUAUUCCAUGCAUGUACCCACUCAGUUUGGUCUUCUCAUGUUGUACACAGACUCCCAGUCCAGUCUCCACAUACCCAGAUGGUCACAUCCAUCCAAAGUUAGCUUCGCAUGAUUUUACUUAUUGAUAAAGUGAAAAUCCUUAACUCAGCCCCGCCUCCGACCUUCCUACCACACUUGCUUUGUGUCUCUGCUUUGUUCACUGUUAAGUCUUCGCGUGACACUGCAGAUGGUGGGUUCCUCCAAGGACAUUCCUGCCCACCAUUCAAUGCCCAUUCAAAAGUUUCCUCUUCUCUGCACGUAGGCUCCAGGUUACCUGUGACUACUUAAAUACACACUUCCUAAUACAGUACCUGGCACCUAGUAGGUGUUCAACAGUAUGCAGUAAGUGAGGAUCUGAUUCUUUGAAUGAGGACAUAACACUUAUAAAAUGAGGAAGAUUCAUCUUGCAUUGUAGGAGGUGGAAUUGGACGCUCAUAAAUUAUUUAAAAAGUUAGAUAGUUGACAGGAACAAAAUGAUCCCAAGUUCCUGAGAGGCUCCGGGGUGUACAGUUGUUGAAAUGUCACCUUUGCAUCGUGGGUAUUGAUUUACAGUUUGCAUCCUUGAGUACAUAAGAUUCUGUACUAGCAGGGGGAGAAAUCCAAUUUCCGUGUCUCAGUGAAGGAGACGGCUAAGUCAGGUUUGGUAUCAGCUGUCGGAAGGUUGUGGUGUGUGUGUGUGUGUGUGUGUGUUGUGUAUUUAGGGGAAUCACAUUGCCUGGCAUUUUUGGUAAUGACAAGAAAAAAGAUUUAAGUCACAUUUUUAAAAUCAGGGAUUAGCUUUGCCUGUUUCAAAAGUUCACCUGAAUAGGAUCACACAGUGCUCUGUCCAGCUGCUUCUGCUCAGCCUUGUGUUUGGGGGUUCAUUCAUGUUGUGGGGUUUAUUCAUGGUUUGCGACUGUUUUUUUAUUGAUGUGUAGUAUUCCAUUGUGUGUGCCUGUCACCAGUGGCUUCUCCAUUUCAUUUUGAUGGACAUCAGGGCUACAUCUAGCGAUUUUUACUAAGGAAGCCUCUAUAAGUACUGUAACACAAGUCUUUCUGUUGUGUGAAUGCUUUCAUUUCAAUGGUGCAGACAUCCGAGAGUGGCGUUGCUGGGUCACAGGGUUGAAGCGUUUUUACUGUGAUGAUAUUGCUGGUCUUGUUUCCAAGGUCCUCUACCAUUUUUCAUUCCUGCUGUUUUGUUUUAUCUCUCCUUAGUAGGUGGAUGAUAUUAUCUCACGACUUUGACACGUACUUUCCUGAUGACUAAUGCUGAACACUUUUUUAUGUAUUCAUUGACCAUUUGAAUUUUUUUCUUUGGUAAGAUCCUUUGAGCUUUCUGUUGA